rnacentral:rRNA from 1 species
GACAUGAAGUUAGGUCAGCAAACCCGCUGAAWUUAA